rnacentral:lncRNA from 1 species
GUGUCUUAGUUUGGGUAUUGAACUUCUAGAAAUGUUUGAUAAUGUGUUACUAUGUGUUGUAGAGGUGGAGAUGUAUGUACAAUUGAUUUGGAGCAAUGAAUGUGGACAAGUUUCUCUUAUGCAUGGUUGGAAUGAUAUGUGAUUUGUGUGUUGAGUCGUAUGAAUGCUUUAUCUUAUACCAUUAGAAGGAAAAAAAAAAAAAACGGGG